ACGCUCGACACCUACGGGAGGCAGCAGUGAGGAAUAUUGGUCAAUGGGCGCUAGCCUGAACCAGCCAAGUAGCGUGAAGGAUGAAGGCUCUAUGGGUCGUAAACUUCUUUUAUAUAAGAAUAAAGUGCAGUAUGUAUACUGUUUUGUAUGUAUUAUAUGAAUAAGGAUCGGCUAACUCCGUGCCAGAAGCCGCGGUAAUCUGAGCGGGCUGGCAAGGC
rnacentral:rRNA from 1 species